UUGAUGUUCUAACAUUGUUCCCUUAUCGGGAAUGUGGACAGUGUCUGGUGGGUAGUUUGACUGGGGCGGUCUCCUCCCAAAUAGUAACGGAGGAGCACGAAGGUUAGCUAAUCACGGUCGGACAUCGUGAGGUUAGUGCAAUGGCAUAAGCUAGCUUAACUGCGAGACAGACACGUCGAGCAGGUACGAAAGUAGGUCAUAGUGAUCCGGUGGUUCUGUAUGGAAGGGCCAUCGCUCAACGGAUAAAAGGUACUCCGGGGAUAACAGGCUGAUCUCCCCCAAGAGCUCACAUCGACGGGGGGGUUUGGCACCUCGAUGUCGGCUC
rnacentral:rRNA from 13 species